rnacentral:rRNA from 1 species
UACGUAGGCAGCAAGCGUUGUUCGGAGUUACUGGGCGUAAAGGGUGUGUAGGCGGUCUACUAAGUCUGGUGUGAAAUCUCCCGGCUCAACUGGGAGGGUGCGCCGGAAACUGGAAGGCUAGAGUGCGGGAUGGGAGAGUGGAAUUCCUGGUGUAGCGGUGAAAUGCGUAGAUAUCAGGAGGAACACCUGUGGUGUAGACGGCUCUCUGGACCGCAACUGACGCUGAGGAGCGAAAGCGUGGGGAGCGAACAGG